AAAAACAUCGCCUCUUGCUUCAAUGAAUAAGAGGUCACGCCUGCCCUGUGACUAUAUGUUUAACGGCCGCGGUAUUUUGACCGUGCAAAGGUAGCGCAAUCACUUGUCCUUUAAAUGUGGACCUGUAUGAAUGGCAUAACGAGGGCUUAGCUGUCUCCUUUCUCAAGUCAAUGAACUUGAUCUCCCCGUGCAGAAGCGGGGAUAAAACCAUAAGACGAGAAGACCCUAUGGAGCUUUAGACAAAAAACAGCCCCUGUCAAUAAACCCUAAAUAAAGGGAAUAAACCUAGUGAACCUGUUUUAAUGUCUUUGGUUGGGGCGACCGCGGGGUAACAAAAAACCCCCAUGUGGAAUGAAAACACCCUUUUUAAACCCAAGAGUCACCACUCUAGGAUACAGAACAUCUGACCAAUAAUGAUCCGGCUAAAGCCGAUUAACGAACCGAGUUACCCUAGGGAUAACAGCGCAAUCCUCUUUUAGAGUCCAUAUCGACAAGAGGGUUUACGACCUCGAUGUUGGAUCAGGACAUCCUAAUGGUGCAGCCGCUAUAAA
rnacentral:rRNA from 1 species